rnacentral:rRNA from 1 species
GACGUAGGGGGCCAGCGUUGCUCGGAAUUACUGGGUGUAAAGGGUUCGUAGGCGGUGUGGCAAGUCGGGAGUGAAAUCUCUGGGCUCAACCCAGAGUCUGCUUCCGAAACUGCUGUGCUUGAGUGUGGGAGAGGCGCGUGGAAUUGCAGGUGUAGCGGUGAAAUGCGUAGAUAUCUGCAGGAACACCCGUGGCGAAAAGCGGCGCGCUGGACCACUACUGACGCUGAGGAACGAAAGCUAGGGGAGCAAACAGG